GGGCUUCAAAACCGGAGCGAUCCCCCCUAUAUUCCCCUUGCCGGUCGCAAGACCGGCUAUGGCGAUAAACGUUCUUCGCAAUAAACCUAUCGGACCCGGGGGCGGUACCCGGCGCCUCCACCCGAACCCAGGGCCUAUGGACGCAGCGGCGUUGGGUUUCGGCGGGGGCGAAAUAGGAUCGACGAGGGCGUAAAGGUUGAGCUUUCGCUCGGCAUGGUUCCGCCGUUAUCGGGCCAUUGCAAUAGUUGCCAACGACAACUUUGCUCCGGUGGCGGUGGCUGCGUAAGCAGUCCCCAAAACCGAUCUAAAGUCCUAGCGGUUAGCAUCGUUUAGGCGGGGUUCGGAGGCACCUGGCAACAGAAGCCUCCACU
rnacentral:tmRNA from 1 species